CUAACAUAUAUGCGAGUGUUAUAGCCCUUAAUUAAUGUGAUAUUUGGGAUUGAGGAUUGCAACGGAUACCCCUCGGGGUUACCCGUCUGAUCUCUGAUCGUUGCUCUGGUACCGAAAGCGUGCUUACGGUUAUCAAAGUCGAUGGUCAACAGGUUAGAACGGGUUAAAUUCGUUAAGGAUGUUGACGUAAUGGCUUUAAACGACCGUCUUGAACACGGACCAAGGAGUCUAACAUAUA
rnacentral:rRNA from 1 species